GCCAGCCUGCCCGUGCCCACCUGGUCACCACACAGCCACAGAAGAGCUGGGCCCCCUGAGGGUGAGGGUGGGACACUGUUCUCAGCUUUGGGAGUCACAGCCCUAAAGACGUUUUUUAUAAAAGAGGCCGAGGGAGAGACACUUCAUCUCUCCAGUGUCAGGAGAGACCCUGCAGGUCCUGAGGUUUAACAUGCAGCCUCCACAACGUGGAAGGAGCAUGGGCUCUGGGGGCAGGCUGGCCUGUUUGCAACUCAGCUCUGCCCCUCAGCACCCCGUGAGCUGGGGAUGCACCUCACCUCCCAGCCUUGGUGUCUGACUCUGCCUCAAGUGUGCAGGUUUGCUUAAGUGAACAGGCAUCUGUAGCUGUGUGCAGGUGAGGAGUCAUGCAAGGGAGCAGGUGGAUGCAAGUGAGCAGGUGUGUGCAGGUGAGGAGGUGGGUACAGGUGAGCAGAUGGUGCAGGUGAGCAGGUGGAUGCAAGUGAGCAGGUGUGUGCAGGUGGUUAGAUGGUGCAGGUAAGCAGGUGGAUGCAAGUGGGCAGGUGUGUACAGGUGAGGCAUGGGCAGGUGAGGUGUAGGCAGGUGAGCAGAUGGCUCAGGUGAGCAGGUGUGUGCAGGUGAGGCAUGGGCAGGUCAGGAGGUAUGGACAGGUGAGCAGAUGGUGCAGUUGAGCAGGUGGAUGCAAGCGGGCAGGUGUGUGCAGGUGAGGAGGUAUGGGCAGGUGAGCAGAUGGCACAGGUAAUACAAGUGAGGAGGUGAUGCAGGUCAGCAGGUGGGGCAGGUAUGUGCAGAUGAGGAGGUGUGAGCGGGUGGGUGCAGGUAAGCAGGUGGGUGCAAGUGACCAGGUGCAUACAGAUGUGUACAGGUGGGUAGGUGGGUACAAGUGACCAUGUGUGUACAGGUGUGUGCGGGUGAGGAAGCAUGAAAGUGAGCAGUUGGUGCAGACGAGCAAGAGGGUGCAAGUGACUAGGUAUGUACAGGUGAGCAGGUGUGGUUCGGUGAGCAGGUGGGUGCAAGUGAGCAGGUGGUUGCAAGUGACCAGGUGUGUACAGGUGAGGUGUGGUGCAGGUGAACAGGUGUGUACAGGUGAGGAGGAGGUAUGGUAUAGGUGAGCAGGUGGGUGCAGGUGAGCCGGUGUGUGUAAGUGAGGAGGUGUGGUGCAGGUGAGUACGUGUGUACAGGUGA